rnacentral:rRNA from 1 species
UACGAAGGGGGCUAGCGUUGUUCGGAAUUACUGGGCGUAAAGCGCGCGCAGGCGGUCUUCCAAGUCAGUGGUGAAAGCCCGGAGCUCAACUCCGGAACUGCCAUUGAAACUGUAAGACUUGAGGAUGAGAGAGGUGAGUGGAAUUCCCAGUGUAGAGGUGAAAUUCGUAGAUAUUGGGAAGAACACCGGUGGCGAAGGCGGCUCACUGGGCUCAUUACUGACGCUCAGGCGCGACAGCGUGGGGAUCAAACAGG